UACGUAGGGGGCAAGCGUUGUCCGGAUUUAUUGGGCGUAAAGAGCGUGUAGGCGGCCAAGCAGGUCAGCUGUGAAAACUCGAGGCUCAACCUCGAGACGUCGGUUGAAACCGCUUGGCUAGAGUCCGGAAGAGGAGAGUGGAAUUCCCGGUGUAGCGGUGAAAUGCGCAGAUAUCGGGAAGAACAUCCGUGGCGAAGGCGGCUCUCUGGGACGGUACUGACGCUGAGACGCGAAAGCGUGGGGAGCGAACAGG
rnacentral:rRNA from 1 species